AUAUGUCGAGUUAUUGUGUUAACUGUUGUGUUACUGUGCUAUGCUGGUUUAUAUUUUACUGCUUUUAUACCAAAUGAGAGACAUUUGGUUUGCCGUACGUGAUCCUAAUAAAAGAAAAAAGUUUAAGAAAAUCAUGGCAGCUUCGCUAGAUACGUCCCAAGACCUCCGUCGCAUCUUGUUUUGGAAGAUACUUAACGGUGAAUAAUGCUCGCCUUAUCGUUUCAUUAAUCUUUAAAAAGUUUUAAAAUCAAAUUUUUACUUGUAUUCAACCCAAUACAUUUUCAAACACUUUUCGGUAAAACGGAUAAUGUGUGCAGUUGAAAAUGAAACAAACCUUUGUGUAUGAUGUGCGAAGUGAGCUUAAGUGUAGAUCAGGAAGAACAAAUGCAAUACGGAAACCAUAUAUACAUAUGUUGUAGGAGUCCCGCUUUUUCCCGUCUUAGGUUUAUAACCGAAAAAUCCGCCGGAUGUCAUUCAUGAACAUAUGAAUAAUCAUGGAGUUAUACCACACAUAUUGUCACAGGACUGAAUAAAUCUGUGCCAGGUCGCGCCCGCGCAUACGAAGUGCCGACGUAUUAAAUGUAUAUUUUAAAUGUAUCAAAUGUAUAUUUUAAAAUAACUAGUUCUAAAAGCAGUGAAAAUUUCCAAAACCCAAAGCUUUGCCAUAAUUGGCUUCGUUAAUUUUUCCUACCCUGUGUCCCAACGUCAGCAUUGUUAUUUCCGUAACUCCGCUUUUUUAUUUAAAACUACACUCCACACACAAAAAGACAAAUGCAAAUCAACCCACACAUACUCGAUGGCCAGUCCAAUGAAAUAAAAAAUUUAUUUUUAAAAUA